UACGUAGGGAGCGAGCGUUGUCCGGAUUUAUUGGGCGUAAAGCGCGCGUAGGCGGUUUGGUAAGCCGGGUGUGAAACCUCCAAGCUCAACUUGGAGCGGCCACUCGGAACUGCCAUGACUUGAGUCAGGUAGGGGAACACGGAAUUCCAGGUGUAGCGGUGAAAUGCUUAGAUAUCUGGAGGAACACCAGUGGCGAAGGCGGUGUUCUG
rnacentral:rRNA from 1 species